AGAACGAACGCUGGCGGCAGGCCUCAAACAUGCAAGUCUAGGGGGCGUAGCAAUACGUCACCGGCGGACGGGUGCGUAACACGUGGGAAUGUACUUACUGGUUCGGAACAACUCAGGGAAACUUGAGCUAAUACCGAAUGUGCCCGAAAGGGGAAAGAUUUAUCGCCAGUAAAUCAGCCCGCGUCCGAUUAGCUAGUUGGUGGGGUAAAGGCCCACCAAGGCGACGAUCGGUAGCUGUUCUGAGAGGAAGAUCAGCCACACUGGGACUGAGACACGGCCCAGACUCCUACGGGAGGCAGCAGUUGGGAAUCUUGGACAUGGGGAACCUGAUCCAGCCAUGCCGCGUGAGUGAUGAAGGCCUUCGGGUUGUAAAACUCUUUCGACGGGGACGAUAAUGACGGUACCGUAGAAGAAGCUCGGCUAACUUCGCGCCAGCAGCCGC
rnacentral:rRNA from 1 species